GGAAGUAAAAGUCGUAACAAGGUUUCCGUAGGUGAACCUGCGGAAGGAUCAUUACUGAUUUAGCGAACCAAGCAUUAGCGAGGUUUUGCGAUCAAUUUAUAUUUAAAACCCACUCUUUAAUGUAUAAAAUUUGUAUUAAUGAUAAAUUAAAAGAUCACUUUCAACAACGGAUCUCUUGGCUCUCGCAUCGAUGAAGAACGUAGCGAAGUGCGAUAAGUAAUGUGAAUUGCAGUAUUCCGUGAAUCAUCGAAUCUUUGAACGCAUAUUGCACUUUCUGGUAUUCCGGAAAGUAUGCCUGUUUGAGGGUCAGUUAAAUAAAAAUCGGUGUUGUUGCUGCCUUUCGUGGUGACGCGUCGGAAUUGAGUUGUCUUACCUUCGGUUAAGUGACUUAAAAUUUUGUAUGAUUUUUGAACGUAUUUAAAUUUUAUUUGUACGUUUGAGAUAUCGAAUGUUUAUUAGGUUUGGUCAUUCUAAUGACCCGCGCCUAUAGUUUUUUCAUUAAAUGACCUCAAAUCAGGUAAGAAUACCCGCUGAACUUAAGCAUAUCAAUAAGCGGAGGA
rnacentral:rRNA from 1 species